GUGACGUGAAUUCAGUUCAAAAGAGCAUAUAAUAUAGUUGACAGAAGAUUUAUAGUUUUGCAUGUAUAAGGGUGACUCAUUUUAAUCUAUAAAUGGAUAUAUAUGGGAAAGUACAUUGAGUUGAAGGCUGAAUAUGUGAGGGAGGAAGUCGAGGGAGGCAUUAGAAUAUCAAGGAGAAAGCUCCCUCUUUCUGUUCUCGAGGAUGAUUCAGUAACCUAUUUCCGCCAACAAUACCGGUAACGUGAUCGUGAAGUGGUAGCUAACUUUACCAUUAUCGACAUCUAUGAGCCUGACUUUAUUCGCUGAACUACAGUUAGUUACCAUAUGGG